UACGAAGGGGGCUAGCGUUGCUCGGAAUUACUGGGCGUAAAGCGCACGUAGGCGGCUUUCUAAGUCGGGGGUGAAAUCCUGGAGCUCAACUCCAGAACUGCCUUCGAUACUGGAGAGCUUGAGUCCGGGAGGGGUGAGUGGAACUGCGAGUGUAGAGGUGAAAUUCGUAGAUAUUCGCAAGAACACCAGUGGCGAAGGCGGCUCACUGGCCCGGUACUGACGCUGAGGUGCGAAAGCGUGGGGAGCAAACAGG
rnacentral:rRNA from 1 species